GACGAACGCUGGCGGCGUGCCUAAUACAUGCAAGUAGAACGCUGAAGGAGGAUCUUGCUCUUCUGGAUGAGUUGCGAACGGGUGAGUAACGCGUAGGUAACCUGCCUGGUAGCGGGGGAUAACUAUUGGAAACGAUAGCUAAUACCGCAUAAGAGUAGAUGUUGCAUGACAUUUACUUAAAAGGUGCACUUGCAUCACUACCAGAUGGACCUGCGUUGUAUUAGCUAGUUGGUGGGGUCACGGCUUACCAAGGCGACGAUACAUAGCCGACCUGGGAGGGUGAUCGGCCAAACUGGGACUGAGACACGGCCCAGACUCCUUAGGGAGGCAGCAGUAGGGAAUCUUCGGCAAUGGACGGAAGGCUGACCGAGGCACGCCGCGGGAGUGAAGAAGGGUUUCGGAUCGGAAAGGUCUGUUGUAAGAGAAGAAAGAGUGUUAGAGUGGAAAGUUCACACUGUGACGGUAUCUUACCAGAAAGGGACGGCUAACUACGUG
rnacentral:rRNA from 1 species